AAGUGAGAUGAUGGUAUACCAUCUUUCGGGACUGACCUGAAAUGGAGAGAGUUUAUAACUGCUGAUCACUU
ensembl:snoRNA small nucleolar RNA, C/D box 2